CCAUAUGUCAUUGUUGCUCUGGUUUGAUACAUUUUGGUGGUACUGUGUCGUACUUUACGCUUGUGUAUGCUUGAUGAAGUCUAGCUCAAGCACGAUUGGAGCUUCGAUGUGAAGCUCCAAUGGCUUCCUAACAGAUCUCCAUGUGAGGUUUCUUUGAGAGAGAGCGAGAAUGAGGGAGAUGCUGAGAGAUUUAGAGAAGAGAGAUUCUGAAAUGAGGGACUAUGAGAUUCUGAGGGAAGAAUGAUUGGGUUGAAUAUGCAGAGAUUGGUUGUUUAUGCAGGAUGUGAUGCCAAUUGAUGAUUGAUGCAGAAACUUUCGCUUUUAGAACAGGAUUAUCACUGCAUUAGGCUGAAGGUUGGUGAAUAUGGGAGCUUGGCUUUUGACCUGCAAACGGACUUGAGCAAGGUCAUGAAACAUCGAAGACCACUCGAUAAGGUACUCACGGCAAAAGUUUCAUGCACUGUCAAGACAAUCUUCCACUUAUAUCCUUACAAUAUGUAUCCUUGAGUUUUCCUUUGUUGUUUCAUGAAUAUGCCUGGCCAAACGUAAUAACGCAGCUUGUGACAGUCUAUGCGUCUGGUACAUUACACUGUCAAGCACACUAAUGGUGCCAGCAACUGACACGACUGAGGAUUGGCCUGACUUAGCCGAUGCAACUGCAACAAUUGCAGCAACAACUAUGGUUGUAUUCAUCGUGUCUGCGAAUGGUUCCCAUGACACUGUGACCAUCUGUGACGGGGAGUUCUUGAGACGGUGCUGGAGUUUCCAAGCCAAGCGGCGGAAAUAUUGUGUUGGUAUAACGAUCCUCCAUUGUUGGCAUCAAAAUUAUUCAGAGUCUUGACGUAGAAGACAACAUGAUUGACAUUGUCUUCUUCGUUACUAGUCAAGAACGGAAGUGAUGAGUAAUUGGUUUGAAGUCCUGGUGGUUCUCUUGCAAUUGAGGAAACCAGUUAAAUGAAAUACUUAGAAUUUAGAUAUUAAUCAAACAGUAGUUAGCAGGUUAGGAAUUCAAUUAGUUUUGCUUGAAUUCUUCUAUCAUAUUGGAAUGUGAAUUGGUUUGGAUUUUAAAUUUUGGAAUUUUGUAAAUGAAAAUUUGUAUUGAAUCAUGAAUGUACACUAACUGUAAAUUUGUUUGGAUGGAUAUUUGAACACGUGACAUUAAGUUA